rnacentral:lncRNA from 1 species
AAUCCAUAGCUACCAGUGUUCAAUAGGUACUAAGUCCAUAGCUACCAAUUCCUAACAGGUACUGAAUCCAUAGCUACCAACGUCUAACUAAUAGGUACUAAGUCCAUAGCUACCAAUUCCUAACAGGUACUAAAUCCAUAGCUACCAACGUCUAACAGGUACUAAGUCCAUAGCUACCGGUGUUUGUCCCAUAGGCACUAAGUCUAUAGCUGCCAAUGUAUACUCACGUCAUCUUCUAUCUCUCAUCAUUCAUCUACCCAUCUCAUACCCAACAUAUUCGUAUAUAUAAAAUACGUAUACAGUUUAAAUCCUUUAAAACAUGUAUAAAACGUUCAUCCAGCAUAGACAACAAGUAUUCAGAUAAUAUGCACACAUAGCACGUAGUUUAUAUAAAAUACUUCAUAUCUAUGUGUAAGAUGAAAGGGACUAUGCACUCACCUGAGUAGGUGGUGACUCAGCACUCGGACAACGCUUCGAUACUCUCAAAACGAUAUUCCUUCGAUAAAACCUAGUACCAAUACCACUAGGGUUUAGUCUAACGAUAACCGCGACAAAUUAAUUAGUCUGACUAUUAUUAAGCGUUAAUAACGCUCAAUAUAACUCAUAAUAAUAGCCCAAAUAAUUAUUUUAAGGACCUAAUAACAUUUCUAUAAUUAUUUGAAAGCUAUAUUAAAAAUUGCGUAAGCGUAGCACACUUACAACGAAUUUUAUCGAAAACCGGAACUUAAUUGGAGCAGCGUUUCGAAACCGAAAAACUCCUUUUUCUCGGGACUCCGGGAGCCUCGGGGCUUCCUUAGGGUGCUAGGGGGUUUUUCUAGGGUUUAGGGGGGUUGGAAUAGGUUAGAGAGAGAAAGAAGUUAGAGAGAGAAGUGAAAAAGGUGUGAAAAUCCGGGAAAUCUCGCAUUCAAUUUAUAGGCCGGAGGUCCUCGGACUACGCGGGGCGUAGCCUCGGACGCGGCGCGUUCUCCUUGAGAUGUGUCGCUUCGCUGAUGGUGCAUCGUGGCUGCUUCUCGGACCGCAGAAGGCUUGGCGUACGCGCAGCGCUCCCUCCUCGUACGCAUGGCGUACCUCGUACGCGAGGCGCUUCUUGGCUAUGCUGGGCGUCCGAAGUACAGGUGUCCGAAUCCGAAGACUAGACCGUGAACAACAAGCAACGGACCUGAUUGAGCCACGUCAUCAUUUCAUGCAUCAGCUUCACAAGUUCAUGCUUCAACUUUAAAAAUUCGUAACUUUCGCGUACGAGCUCUAUUUUUGAAGUUCUUUAUAUCCACGCGAAGGUGGGAACGUACUCUACAACUUUCGUUUAGAAUCCGUCAGCUAAUUUUGGCUGGAUUUUAAAUUUUAUAUUAUUAACAGGCCGGGACAUGAUUGGUCCGUUAAAUCCUCAUAACUUCUUCAUCCGACAUCCGUUUUCGCCCAUCUUUUUCUCGUUACGCUAAUUUUAAUGAGAUCUUUGAUUCUCGUUUAGGUCGUGUUGGCUAAAACCGCUCGAUCUAAUAUUCGAAUUUCGGGCUGUACACUGCUAGUUCGAAACUUCGAAAAAUCAUAACUUCUUCAUACGAAGUCAGAUUUGGGCGUUCUUUUUAUCGAUGUUCUUAGUUUAACAUAUUCUAUGACUUUCGUUUAGAUCGAUAAGGCUAAAUCUCACUCUAUCGUAAAUUCACUAUUUACGCUUCCCGGUACCGUGCCGGUUCUGACGCGAAACUUCGACGGGUCAUAACUUCUUCGUUAUAACUCGGAUUUCGGCGUUCUUUAUAUGUACAGAAACCUUGUGACAUAUCCUACAUCUUGGUUAAGAUUAUUUAUUCUAAAUAAUCUUUUGUCGAAAAGUCAUUUUCGCCCCCUAUUGCCUCUAAUUUGACUAGCCCGGAUCUACGAGUGUUAUUAUCUCCCCCUUAGGAUGAUUACGUCCCGGAAUCAUCAACGAAACAGGGUCGUAUAAUGACUCCAUACAUCAUCUCUUCAUCCUAGGUAAUAAUUAUAACUUCUACAUUCAUUCAAGUCUAUCUCUUAGACUCAUUGACUGCAAGAAGUACUCGAUCGUGUACCUGCUCUCUACCUCAGGCUAGACUCCCAAUUAUGACCUUCAAGUCACAAUCUCAAUCCUUACUGGAUACGAACUUGAGAUGAUUUCUUUUAUUACUACUGAGGUGUCAUAUUCUAAUGACCUAUCAUCGUAUGCUGCAACACUUAGACUUAGGUCUCUUAGAGUUAAAUUCUAAAAUAGACUAUGCCUUCCUUCAUGUUCUAAUGUGAUAUACUCACACUUUAACAUUAGGCAUUUCUAGCCACCAACUUCUUUAACAACGAGUGCGAUACUUCUAUUGAUCGCUNUGAUAUAAUCACAAUUUAACAUUUGGCAUUUCUAGCUACCAACUUCUUUAAUAACAAGCGUGAUAUUUCUAUUGAUCGUUUUGAUUUCAAUCAUUUGGUUUAAGUCGUACGCUACAUCGACCUUGAUUUCUAAACCACAUAGCAUACUUAGCGUAGUCGGACUCAAUUCGAUAUGACCACUAGGGUCGAAAUAUCAACAAUCUUCUUAGUCAUUACCGAAACGAUGGUAACAACACACUUGAAUAAAACGAAAUCAAUUACUAGCUUCUUGGUAACCUUGUGACUUUCCCUGAUCCAAGUGUGAGUCCUGUGCUUCUGGUAGUAUAGGCCUCUACUACCAUUCACACCUACUCAUACUCGUCCCAAGUAUUUUCUCGCAGUUUCCCAAGUUACUAUGCAGCAAAUCACACAAUCAUUAAACACAUCAGAUAACAAAACGAAGGUUUUAUAUUAUUUCUUGAAACGAUUACAUAGGUGUUCAAGUUCACCCUAGACUAUGCCUCUACUAGGCUACAUCAUACGAAACUAUCGCUACUGCAUAAUCCGAUCUUCGGGUAAGAAGUCCUCAUUCUUGAUUCCUCGCAUGGUUCUCUGCUUCGUCGAGGAUCAUGUGAAAUGCCCUUGGCCUUGGUGGCGUUUCUGGUCUUGCUGCUUUAUUUUUCCUUGGGCAGUCUCUGGACAUGUGCCCCUUGCCUCCACAUCCGUAGCAUACUUUGUCAUUAUGUGUGCAGUCUUUGGAAUAGUGACCCGUCCUCCCACACUUGUAACAAGUCACUUCUUCGUUGCACUUCCCACCAUGCUUCUUCUUGCAUUUAUCACACCAUCUUGUUUCACCUCCAUCUGCUCCUCCGAGUUUUGAGAAUUUGCUUUCCUUGUUCGACCUCGAAGAUCCCUCAAACUUUCGCUUCUCUCCUGCCUUAUCUUUUUCUAGACCCUUUUCUCUUAUCUGGGCCUCUACGUUCUUAGCUGCCCUAACAGCUGCUUUCAAGGUAGUUGCCAUUUUGACCAUUGGGCCAAAGUCAGUGGGCAGUCCGUUAGCAAACCUAUCAAUCUUGGAGAGUUCAGUAGGCACCAAGUAGGGAAAUAGCUUCAUCCUCUCGGUAAAUGCGGUGGCAUACUCAUCAACACUCAUCUUCCCUUUCUUCAGGUUCUGAAACUCGUUGUUUAGGUCUAUCAGAUCUACCUCCGAGCAGUACUGCAUUUUCAACUGUUCCAAAAACUCUUCCCACGACAUCCUUAAGGCUUCUCCUCGUGGCAUCGUAUCUGCCAAUAGCUUCCACCAGCUCAAGACUCCAGUUUUCAGUUGUCUUACAGCGAAGACAGUCUUCUGUUUCUCGUUACAGCUGCAGCUCUCAAACACCAUCUCCAUCUCAGAGAUCCAAUCCAUAAUCUCAACCGGCUUCGGGCUUCCUGAGAGACUUGGGGGUUUCGCACCCAAGAAAUUCUUGUACAUCCGCCCAUCCUUGUUGUUUCUCCCUUCUGGGCCAUCCCUUUGCUCACCUUGAGUCCCAACUUGACUCACUUGGCGGCUGUAGUUCCCUUCCUCAGAUUGCUCGGGAAUCAGUUCGGGUUGCUCAAUGGGCAUAGUAGGUUCGUCCCUAUUCAACAUCCGUCUCAUUUCUUCCCUUUGUUCAGCCAACAUAGCCCGAAUCAUGGCUUGAACUCCAGCCAUGGUGACUGGCUCAGGCGCAACUUCUUCUACAACAGGUAUUUGCUGAACCACUGGGGGUUGGUUCCUGUUCCCAUUUGCGUUUACGUUUCCGCUACGGGUCCUUACCAUCUCGAUCUAUACACCGAAUAAGGUGAAUUUAGACCUUUACUUGACGUUUAAAUCAUCCUUAUCACUCCGAAACGUUUACAUGCUAGUUCUAAUACCGUAGUCGUACGUUUAGAAUCCUAAACACAUAAGGUUUCCAGAUCCGGUCGGCAACAGACCAUAGAUCCGAACAAUUAACAACAUAUCAUGCACAAAGCAUUUAGCACAUAAAAGCAUUUUAGGCAUAAUUCCUAAAAUAAGCUAGUGCUCACACCUCACAAUCAUCGCUUAGCAUUCUAAGUUUAAGUCUAGAAAUAAAUCCAUAUUCCUAGUUCGCUUAAACUAAUGCUCUGAUACCAACUGUGACAUCCCCAAAAUCACGGCCAGAAAAGACCGAUUUUGUUUAUGCUUUAUAAAAAUCAGAGUACUUCAUUUUAUAAAAAGGUUGCGGAAUUUGUUCCCAGAAAAACAUGGUAAAUACGUUAUUAAAACAUUUUCGAAGAAACGUAUUUAUUUCAUUUUAAAAUGUUUGGGAUGUCAUCGUUAAUACCGAAACAUAAGCAUAAACAGAACUUACAAUGAUUUACACUAGUGAUCUACAUCUCUUUUAAAUCUCUCAGUGUAAUGUCACUUCACUUCGUCACCUGUGAUAUACAUAAACUGAGUGGGUCAGGUUGGGAAACCUGGUGAGUACAUAGGGUUUUCAACCCACAAUAAUAUAAUUGUUAUGUUUAAUCAUCAAACAAUUAACCCCAUUACCCAUCCCCGUUAUCUUCUUUACUCUUAAGGAUUUAACCUAAGAGUCAUCUAUCCUGCAUUCGUUUAUUCCGAAGUCCCUUACUUCCAGGGUUAUAGGACUGGCACUAAAUCCAUAGCUGCCAAUGUUCGUUCGUAAAGCACUAAUUCCAUAGCUGCUAUAGUUUAUUCAUCGGGUACUAAAUCCAUAGCUACCAGUCUCUAUCUAAUAGGUACUAAGUCCAUAGCUACCAAUUCCUAACAGGUACUAAAUCCAUAGCUACCAGCGUCUAACUAAUAGGUACUAAGUCCAUAGCUACCAAUUCCUAACAGGUACUAAAUCCAUAGCUACCAACGUCUAACAGGUACUAAGUCCAUAGCUACCGGUGUUCGUCCCAUAGGCACUAAGUCUAUAGCUGCCAAUAUAUACUCACGUCAUCUUCUAUCUCUCAUCAUUCAUCUACCCAUCUCGUACCCAACAUAUUCGUAUAUAUAAAAUACGUAUACAGUUUAAAUCCUUUAAAACAUGUAUAAAACGUUCAUCCAACAUAGACAACAAGUAUUCAGAUAAUAUGCACACAUAGCACGUAGUUUAUAUAAAAUACUUCAUAUCU